GCGGGGAGCCGCAGGGAGCCCAAGGCAGGGUGGACUCCACGGGCCACAAGUCUCCAAAUAACCGGCUUCCGCAAGUCUCGGUCUGAGAUACGACACUGAGCGCUGAGAUAGUCACUAGACACAUAAUCAAUGUCAGUAUUAUCGAUCACAAAUAAACACGACUCGCUAAUUACGCAGAGAAGUACGCUACCCAAAAGCACAGCUCUGCAGGUCGCUGGCACAGACGCCCGCGGCGCCUCCUCCCCGCCCUCCCGACAGCAUCCGAGGGCAGGAAACACAACCACUACUCAUAAGACUACUUUUAGACCAAAGGCUACUGAAAUUUGAGAUGAACAAUUUAGUAUGAGGUUGUCAGCCUCAUAAGCCCUGCUUGGAAAAAAAUCAUAUUUCACUUUUGCCCUCUCUCCGCCCAGCCGCCGAAGGCCCGUCUCCCGGUUCGAGCCUCACCACACCGGCUAUUGCUUCAGCCCUUGGCACAACUGCGGGGGGUGGAAAGGAAACACAUGGACAUCUCAAAACCACCUUAGCAAAAGCUCAAGCUAUCAAGAAGUGUCCGUUAGAGAGCGGAGGUGACCAUCUGAGCAUCUGGCAGCGAGGCCGUAGCGACCUUUGGUGCAGCCCCACCGCUCCGGAGCGGUGGGGACGCCAGGUCCCCNNNNNNNNNNNNNNNNNNNNNCGUCGGUGCCUGCCGCAGCCGGCGGUAACCGAAAACCCCUUCUGGUUCCUUCAGCUACUGUCAUCCCCUUUUGAGAUACGGCGAGCCUUUUCUAUCUACCUGAUUACCUGAAAACCUGGGUGGAAUUUAUGGCGUACUUCAAGCUGCGCUUGGUCCCUCGCAGCGCGUUGACUUCUGGCUCUUCGGCCUCUGCACAGUGCUUCAUGAGCUGGUUUUUGUUAUUUUCCCGGGCUACGUCGGACCCUCUGACACCUACAUGUGGAUAAAUCCAUUUCCAGUGCUAAUCUUCAGCCAGAGGAAAGGAGCAGCAGCAACAGCAGCAGCACGGUGACAGGGCGGCUGGCGACGCUCGCGGCCGCCGGCCGUCGUUACGCCAAGCUCAGGGACACCAGACGACGCGCCAACGCAGGUUGCUCCAGACUUUUCCCACGUUCGCUGUAUUUCAAGGUUUUUUUUUCGAGAGGUGGUAUUAGGCAUCGCACAUCAUCUCGCUGCCAGCCCGCCGCCGUGCAGGCGUGGAGAGGCUUCUCCAGGCACGUGAAGGGAAGCAGUUUUCACCGCAUCUCUACGAAAUAAGCCUUGUGACAAACAAGCGCUUUUCGAUUUUGCCAUAAAUCAGAUUCUGUACUCUGCAUACACAAAAAUGCAGACUUUUUUCCUACGUUCUUUGCACAGCAUUAUUAAUAAAUUUACUCCAAAUAAAGCUG
rnacentral:lncRNA from 1 species